rnacentral:tRNA from 1 species
GAUUCCGUAGUGUAGCGGUUAUCACGUUCGCUUUACACGCGAAAGGUCCUCGGUUCGAGCCCGGGCGGAAUCA